rnacentral:lncRNA from 1 species
AACCUUACCAAAAUAGCAAAUCAAUGACAAGACCCUUGCUUCUCCAAUGCCUGCCAAGGAAUUGCCACUUGUGUGACCACCCCAGGAGAGGGGCUUCCUAUGCCAAUGUCCUUCUUCUGGGUUCAGAGGGCUGACCUGUGACACUGCCACUAAUUCCUGCAGAGGAAACAUUUGCCAGCAUGGGGCACUUGCCAUAAAGACCUGGAGCACCCAUCUGUAUCAGCCCUGCUGGAUAUGCUGGAAGGUUCUGCAAGUCAGACAGAGGACAAUGAGUGUGCUUCCAGCCCCUGCCACAAUGUGGCCGUGUACCAGGAUGGAAUCAAUGGCUACUCCUGGUUAUGUGUGCCUGGAUACCAAGGUGGGCAUAGUGACCUGGAAGUGGAUUCUUUCUUUCUUUCUUUCUUUCUUUCUUUCUUUCUUUCUUUCUUUCUUUCUUUCUUUCUUUCUUUCUUUCUCUCUCUCUCUCUCUCUCUCUCUCUCUCUCUCUCUCUCUCUCUCUCUCUCUCUCUCUCUCUCUUUGGUUUUACAAGACAGGGUUUCUCUGUGUAGCCCUGGCUGUCCUAGAACUCACUCGAACUCAGAGAUCCGCCUGCCUCUGCCUCCCGGCUGAUGAAUGUGUUUCUGAUCGCAGCAUGAAUGAGGCUGUAUGUUGCAGUGAGAUAGGAAGAUAUAUGUGUGUCUGUCCUCAAGACUAUUCUGUGUGAACUUAGUUAGAAGGUGAUGAAAGUGGUGCCAUGUGUCAGGAUGCUCUAGGGCUCACUUCUGUGACUGUGCACAUGGAUUCCAUGAAGACCACUGUGAGCUCAACUUUGAUGAUGUGGCUGACCGGACACAUUGCAGGCCUGCCUUCCUCCUUCAACUACUGGGAGCCUCAGGCUAUGCUUGUAUCUGUCAG